rnacentral:rRNA from 1 species
UACAGAGGUCUCAAGCGUUGUUCGGAUUCAUUGGGCGUAAAGGGUGCGUAGGUGGCGUCGUAAGUCGGGUGUGAAAUUUCGGAGUUUAACUCCGAAACUGCAUUCGAUACUGCGGUGCUUGAGGACUGGAGAGGAGACUGGAAUUUACGGUGUAGCAGUGAAAUGCGUAGAGAUCGUAAGGAAGACCAGUGGCGAAGGCGGGUCUCUGGACAGUUCCUGACACUGAGGCACGAAGGCCAGGGGAGCAAACGGG